rnacentral:lncRNA from 1 species
ACAGCAGCCGCAGAAAAAAGCUCUACAAUAAGGGGUCAACAACUAGGUGUGAGAACUACUGCAAAAAGAAGUAGUCCUCAGUGGGUACGCUACCGACCUCAACAGCUCACCCACUAAGUCUACAGAAAAUAUGCACAAGGACAGUAAAGGAUGCUGGUAAAACUCUACAGCUAUAUGUCACUAUACUAUCGCUAACCACUAUCUGUAGAUAAAGAAAAGCACUCUCUGACCUAAUC